rnacentral:lncRNA from 1 species
CCACAUUAUAGAACCAUGCUUAGUUUGUGCUCUAACUGGAAAUGACUCUUGCUCCAUUUCCCAUUAGGGAGAGAUUUGUGCUUUCAAAAUGAAAAGUCAGCAUGCUCUUUUAUAUUUAAUUUAUAUGUUGGUAAAAAGACCCAGAGGGAGAACUGGAAGUUCCUAGAUGAUCCUAGAUGGAUCUAGCUUAGACAUCAGGAUAAGGUGUUCGUAAGCAUGGGGCUGUUGAUUCAAAAAGCACUAGUUAUGGAUUUGACAUCUUUUACCAAUACUGUAUUAUUAUUGAUUCAUCUUGUUAACAUACAAAUUUGUGUAGCAUUGUGACAUUUUCGAAGAUUAAUUCAAGGGAAAUUCUGCUUGCAGGAAGUUCUCCCUUUCAGACUUCUUCCUGGCAAAAUGGUUCCAGAAGCCUGGAUUGGAGGAGUCUUAUGGAUCUGAAACUAAUGAAAGCAAGAAUACUGUCCUGGGAGCCCCAGAGAAUAGACUGCCAAAGGUAUUCCCAGCCUUCAAAACCAACCCUGGGCUAUGCACAAAGAGGAUGAGAAGGAAAAAUGACUUUAGUCCGUUCUUUGUUUUCCCGGCCAACCUUCCAGGCUCUGAAUCUUUAGCACCUCAGAGGUUUUAAGGGUUGUUUCUUAGAGAUUGAGAAAUUCUUCAAGGACUCAUCAAAGACUUUAUUAGCAGCAAAACUAGAGAAGGGAGGGGAAGAUAGGUUGGGUCCAAGUUUAGACCCUCUUCAAGCUUCCUAUAUCCUGCAGGGAGAAUUUAACACAAACCUGACCAAGCCUGGGCUGUUUGUAUUAUAGCCGUGGAGACCCCAUGCCCAAGGCUCUAGUAAAGAAUUGUUGAUUUGAUUCGUUGUACCACCAGUAUAUUGCCUGGUAAGAGGUGGGUUGAUUAAAAUGUGCAUGGAAGAAUAACUUCUUUUUACUUAUCUGUUGAAAAAGGUCAACUUUUUAAUUCAUAGGAAAAAGGUCUCAAAAACAAUCCUGUCUGUUGUAGUAAGCUCGCUGUGGCAAGGGAAUGUGUCUACCAACUCUGUUGUACUAUCCCAAGCACUUAGUACAGUACUCUCCACACAAUAGGCACUCAAUAAAUAUGAUUGAUGGGCACAAAUGAAUUGAAA